AUGCUUUUGACCCUCUGAGGUGCCCUCUGACAUCAGGAAAGCACACAGCCUUUCUAAAGUUGAUUUUCUAAACAGAAAAUUGAUAGCCCUGUCCAUAACUGAUAUAGAAACAAUUUGAGAAUGUCAAGGAACUCAGAAAGAGUAAUGAUUUUGGUGAUGAUGCUGAGUACUGAUGGAGGUUGCUUUCCCCGCAGAGAGCUCCAUGUGCCUUGUGGUCCUGUUGCAUGUCCUUCACAUGCACCUGUGAAGGAGAUUUGGGCUCACACCGUGUCUGUGUAGCAGACCUCUGUCUCACAGAUUUAUAGAAAAGAAUGGACCCGGGUUCCUUGGAGAAGUGAGUCCAGGUCCAGGACAAGGACAAUACAAGAUACAGACUCUUGGGGAAGACCCACUGGGAACCUGAUGGAGAUGGAAAUGAUGGAAAGAGACUGAGAAACAGCUCCUACUGCUCCACCCUAUUGCAGCCCUCCCUCCCUGAGCAAGAAAGAUUUUUCAUGUACACAAACCAAACCUCAAGUCAGAAAUCAUUUCCUGAAGAAGUCUUCUGGGUCCACGUUUCAAGUCAAGUCCUGUUGAUACCAGCUCUCGGAGAACCAGAUCUCUCUCCUUCAGAUCACUUAUGCGGUUUGUAGUUAAACAUUUAUUAAUGUGAUCAUUUGCUUAAUUUUUGUCCUAUCUCCCAACAAACUAAAAAUCCCCAAAGAAUUUGUUUCUUAACAUGUUGUUUUAAUUUUUUCUCAUCAUUUUCUCACCCUGUAUCUAAUGCCCUAUUGUUUUUGGGCGGCGUUGGUCAUUUAUUUUGACUCUUCAGCACCUUUUUCUUUCUUGUAUUUGGGGAAUUCUUGACCUUCUGAGCCCAGGACCUUCCUUGCCAGCCAUCAUACUUUGCAGUCAAGCACAAACACAUCCCAGGCUGUGACAUCCAGCCUUCCAGAGACGCAGUCUAAAAGACUCUAGGAGUUGUCUCUGGUACCUGGAACCACCAGUGGAAACUGUGGUGUUGUGUCUUGUUGUGGCCUGGUGCUGGCAGAGUCUUGUGUCUUAUUUUGGAGAUUGUUCCUGGAAGAAUGGGCAUCAAGCUGGCUUCUGGGCCUUUCCCAGAGAUUCGGAAACUUACAUCCUUUUAAUAAAAUAUUUUUCUACUUUAAUGAACUAGAGCAAUUUCUUUGGUUUUCAACUCAGGUAAGAACCUCAAAAUGAAUGAGUGAAUAAUGGAAUCUCUUUGCUGCCAACCCAGAUUGGAUGUUUUAUUGUUUAAGAUGUUCUAUGAAGUUAUUGCAAAAGGGACUUGAAUUAUAGAAAUGAUCUGAGUGUUGUCUAGAGGCUUGUCAAGGCCCAGUAUACUUCAGCUGUAGGAGGCUACAAAAAUGUUCUUGGUUUCCUGUACAUAUAUCCAUUACCUUCCUAAUAUCUAUUGCUAAAAAUCUUCUGACAAGUAGUUUGGAGUUCUGUGUAACCAGUUUCAGAAUAAUUCAGCUCUUAAUGCUUUCUCUUUGUUAUUUUACUGUACAUUGCUAAGUUGAAAGAAAAAUGUU